rnacentral:lncRNA from 1 species
GCAGGGACUGCAGUCUCUGCUUAACAAAGCCUUCACUUAAGUCUUCACCAGAAAAUACUUUUCUAUUAUGUAAAAGUUACCGAACGUAUUCAGGCAUGCAUGCAUACAUUUGUAAAUAAAGCAGGGUUUAAUGGUUUGAAAGGCAUUUCAGUUCAUCUUGAUAUGACUUUGCUAACCCUUUUCAGAAACACUGUGAUGAGAAAAGGAAAAGCAUCUCAGAAAAAAACUGAUCAGAAGUUUAGCCUAAUGAAUCAUGAUAACUGAAGGAAGGCAGGAGAAGGAAAGAGAAAACCAACCCAAACUCAUAAGAAAGCUUCCUGGAAAGAAAUUUCAGUGGUCUUAAGCCUGACUUUCAAGUACGUAAUUUUCAGGACUACCCUUGAAGCACCAUUAAAGACUGAUGCCGUGGUUGCCAUCCCUUUUUCCUCUAAGAGGAGGCUGGAAUAGAAACUGCCCAGAAGGGAUCUGCACUCUUCAAUUGUUCAGAGUGCUGUGGAGCAGAAGUACAGAUUGGCAAGAACUGGCAGAAAAGAUGCUGCCCAGAAACCAAGUGCUCUUCAAGCAUUCUCAGCACAUUGGCAAGGUUCCUGAAGCAGCAUAUCAGAGCAAAAUAAACUCAAAGCCAAAAAUUAAACCUGAGAAAUACAGUCAACUGCUCUUACUAUUUGUGCUCAAGAAGAUGACCUUCUAG